rnacentral:tRNA from 2 species
UCUCUGUUAGUAUAUCGGUUAGUACACGCGCCUGUCAUUUGGGGACCUUCCUCUCAGUGGCGCGCGAAAGCGGGGUUCGACUCCCCGACAGAGAG